rnacentral:rRNA from 1 species
AUGUUUGUGUUUAUGCGUCAGCCUUGGAGUAUGGGUUCAGAUAAUCUGUUGAUUGAGUUCAUGGAUCCGGAGGACCAUAACAAAGAUAUUCAGGAUUAUAAAUUUGAUACUAUCUUUGUUACGGUCCGGAUCUACGGUGUUCCUCCUCGCUUCCGUUCACAACAGCUCUUGCAAAAGCUUCUGGGUACUUUGGGUCAAGUUUCAGAGUUUCAUCCUUUUAGUCAGGCCAUGCUUUAUGCUAAAUCAGAUUAUAUGUGGGGAACUAUAAAGAUGGCAGUAGCUAGUCCAGUUCAAGACAAAAUAUGGGUUUCAUUUCCUACAAAUUUGGCAGGUUGGGUCUAUCUCUUCUAUGAAAGAAUUGGUCGCAUUUGCACCUUCUGUGGAGUGAUGUUCCAUACUGUUCAGCACUGCCCUACUAGAAAUAAUCUGCUCAUUUCUAGGCAAAGGUUGCAUAUUGAAUUAGAUCAAAUUCCUUCUGAAAGGUUGGGACAAUGGAUGAAUAAUGCGGAGCUUAUCCCAAUGCAGUCUGCUAUUGCUACACAGGAACAUGAAGCGGUCUUCUCAACUUUUCUGAAUCCUCAGUUGAUCAGAUUACAGAAGCAGUCUAUGGAAGAUGUUAAGGGUAAAGCUAAUGUUCCUACUGAAGAAGAGUGUGCAGAAGUUGUUCCUAAAGAGUUGUCUUUAAGGAAAAUUAACAUGCAAAUCCAGAUGAUGCAGCAGGGAAACUCCUCCAAAGAUGCAGGUCAGCAGCAGGUUCAGGAAAGAGUUUCUGCAUCUCACCUCCUUCGGAGUACUGUUCAUGGUCAAAGUGGUGAGCACAGUUCUUUACCACCGGCUACCUUACCCACUGCAGUUAAUUCUGAGACAGGGAUAGGGCGGUGCAUUAACGCGGGAGACAGAGCUCACCUGCCAACCUCUUUGUCUGUCCCAGCUCUCUCGGGUGAUGCAAAUCAGUCAGGCCCACUGUCUCAGUUUCUGAUGAGUCCCCCGUGCGCUCCUGGACAAGAGUUAUAG